GUUUCCGAUGUCAAUCACGCCGGAGAGCCGCCAUAUGUUUUCUCAGCUCCGGUGACAAAUGCCUCAAUGAGCUCCGGAAUCUCAACUGUCCUUGUACAACACAAUGAUUGAAUGGCUCAAUGUGCUUAGAUUGAAGGAAUUGAGUUGCAGAAUCAGAAGGCAAAUAUGUGUACAAGUUACAGCUAUCAGUAUAACUGACAUAAGACUGGUUCUGGGUUGAUGAUCAAAAAUGGGAGUCAGUUCUGGUUCUGAUUUUGUUUUUAAAGAAGUGCUGAAAAGAAAUGUCAGUGUUGUUGGAUAGUGUUUCUCACGUUCUUGUUUUGAUGUUGCAAGUUGUAGAAUUUCAUGAACCAAUUAUCCCCAAAACUAAUGAUCUAAC